rnacentral:sRNA from 1 species
CCUAAAGAUAAGGCUAUUGGACCCUGCAGCCAGGCUCAAAGGGCCAAAGGGACCCUGACUUAGAAGGGGUUCCUUCAUUUUCCAACUCUGAGCCACUUUCCAAUUCUUCUCUCCUUCUCUCUCUAAACUCAGUUUUCCUCCUUCCUUCUCUGCCUUCUCUCUACCCUUACACUCAUUUGAACCGUUGAAAUUUUGAUUAGGUGGUGUUCUUUCGCUCACGGAGUUGAGGGCUUCCUAUCCAUCUGAUUAGUUUUCGAUUUGGACGGGUGGUUGUAGGGCACUAUUUGGGUUUUCUCUGUGAAGGCACUGUUAGGACACUCUAGUUGGCUAUACUGCUCAACUCCAAGAGGAAGAUGAGGUUUCUUUGGAGGCAACAUUGGAGAGAAAUGAAGAUGAUGCUGCAGCUUAGACUCACUAGG